AGGAGAAGUCGUAACAAGGUUUCCGUAGGUGAACCUGCGGAAGGAUCAUUGAAUCUAUCACAAUCCACCACACAUGCGAACCAUAAGCGUUGGCCCCCUGCUCGAGUAAAAUCGAACAGGUGCCAGGGCAGCAGAGCUUCCUCACGGAAACUGCGGCCUUGGGUCGCCUUGGGUGCGCCUCGUGCGUGCCCCGGGCGUUGGUCUUAUACUAACCAACCAACACCAAACUAUAAAUUAAAUUAAAUCGAGUGUCUGGCCUAGGGCCAGUGCUCACCAACCAAGACAACUCUCAACAACGGAUAUCUUGGCUCCUCGAAUGAUGAAGAACGCAGCGAAAUGCGAUACGUAGUGUGAAUUGCAGAAAUACGUGAAUCAUCAAGUCUUUGAACGCAUAUUGCGCUCGCGGCUUCGGCCAAGAGCAUGUCUGCCUCAGCGUCGGGUUAAUACUCACUCCCAGGACACCGUAACAACGUGUUUCCGCGGAGUGGACCUGGCCGUCUCGGGUAUGUUGGAGUUCGCUUCUUCAAACCCGGGUCUGCUGAAGAGAAGAGGUUGCUGCAUGGACCCGCUAAUGGGCCUCGACUGGGUAGGCAACUCGUUUGCUACAUGCUUUAGUCGAUGGCUUGGAGCCGUGCUUGGGCGACCCAAACCAGGAAACUUAACCCUUCAUAUUUUCUCGACCUGAGCUCAGGCAAAGGCACCCGCUGAACUUAAGCAUAUCAAUAAGCGGAGGA
rnacentral:rRNA from 1 species